UGGUUCUGGCAUCGAUGAAGAACGCAGCGAAAUGCGAUAAGUAAUGUGAAUUGCAGAAUUCAGUGAAUCAUCGAAUCUUUGAACGCACAUUGCGCCCUCUGGUAUUCCGGAGGGCAUGCCUGUUCGAGCGUCAUUUCAACCCUCAAGCCUGGCUUGGUGAUGGGGCGCUGCCGUCCUCGCGGGCGGCAGGCCCUGAAAUCUAGUGGCGAUCCCCACGGGAAGCUUAGCGCAGUAGUUAUCCUCGCUAUGGUGACCCGUGGGGCCCUGCCGUUAAACCCCCAACCUCUGAAAAUUUGACCUCGGAUCAGGUAGGAAUACCCGCUGA
rnacentral:misc_RNA from 1 species